GGCUGGUCCGAAGGUAGUGAGUUAUCUCACUUGAUUGUUCGCAGUUACAGAUUGAACUCCUUGUUCUACUACUUCCCCCCUCCUCACUACUGCACUUGACUAGUCUUAG
rnacentral:Y_RNA from 1 species